rnacentral:lncRNA from 1 species
AGAUAUAUCACUAAAACCAGCACCCAAGUGAUGUGACUCUUCACCAGAGUCCUGCCCACAAGGAGGAUUGUGACAUUUCACUGGACCAGCACCCACUCAGGAAUCAAAUCCGAGUUCGUCUACAGCUGAUUCGGCAGGUACCAGGGCGUCCGCGAUGGUGAGUGAUAGCACCGCGAUGGUGGUAUUGCUCCAUAUGCCUGAGACCCUAACAAAAGCCUAAUUACAACUCAUAUGCCUGGAGCCAGGACAUGUGCAGGAUGACUCUGCCAAGAGAGGGGAUUAUUACAUAUUGCAGAGCCCAGCACCUAGGUGGAGUGACUCUCAUCUUUUUCUUCUACCCCGUAUAUAGCCAGCUUGGUGACCUACUAUUUGAGUCUAUACCCAGGCCCAGACCACAGAUGAAAUUGUGCAAUAUGUGGAACAAACACCUAAACAAUAUAUAACACCUUCCUUGGCUCUGUCUACAAAGGGCACUUUUAUAUAUCACUGGGACCAUCAACCAGGUGAUGUUAAUUAUCUUCCUGAAACCUGUCUACAAAGAGAGUUGUGUCGUAUACCUAGGCCCGUCAUGUAAGUGAUGUCAGUCCCUUCUACUGCCUUGGCCCUGCACUUACAGUGCAUUGUGACACAUAACAAGGUACUGCACACAGACGAUGUGAUUCUCCUUUUUGGGUUCUGCCAAAAGGAAGCAUUGUAAUAAAUCGCUUGGCUCA